GUGGUGACAUUAUAGACAGGUGUGUGGUGUGUGGUGACAUUAUAGACAGGUGUGUGGUGUGUGAUGACAUUAUAGACAGGUGUGUGGUGUGUGAUGACAUAGACAGGUAUAUGAUGUGUGGUGACAUUAUAGACAGGUGUAUGAUGUGUGGUGACAUUAUAGACAGGUGUGUGGUGAUAUUAUAGACAGGUAUAUGAUGUGUGGUGACAUAGACAGGUAUGUGAUGUGUGGUGACAUAGACAGGUGUAUGAUGUGUGGUGACAUUAUAGACAGGUGGGUGAUGUGUGGUGACAUAGACAGGUGUGUGGUGACAUUAUAGACAGGUGUGUGAUGUGUGGUGACAUAGACAGGUGUGUGGUGUGUGGUGACAUUAUAGACAGGUAUAUGAUGUGUGGUGACAUUAUAGACAGGUGUAUGAUGUGUGGUGACAUUAUAGACAGGUGUGUGGUGAUAUUAUAGACAGGUAUAUGAUGUGUGGUGACAUAGACAGGUAUAUGAUGUGUGAUGACAUAGAAGUGUACCAUGUGAGAUGACAUUUUGGAACGGGUAAUAUAUGUAAUGACAAUAUCUAGGUGUGUGAUGACAUUAUGAGACAGACCUAUGUCAUUAAGUGUGGUUUUUCAUGUCGACAAGUAUGUGUUUAUUUAGACAAUGAUUUACAGGUGCUUAAAGCGAUAUGUGUAAGAACAAAAAUGUAGUAGCCAUUUCAUAAAUUUUAAUUUGGGUUGCAACAAUCUUUUUCAUUGGUAGAUCUCCAGUUUUGACAACAUGACACUAAGGCGAUUUUUGCUGCAAUCUUCUAUCUUACAUAAACAUUGUUGAUAUUAACAUGUUGUUUUUGUCAUGUAAAGGAACAGCAUUCUUGGAAUUGAGAUUGAAAUAUGGGUUUCUUUUAAGCGAAAGUGCAGAAAUUUGAAUCGGCCUGUGUUGGUCAACAUCAAAAUCAUUGCACAAGGAGAACAAAAUACUCCUACUAUUUCAAUUGUGACACAUUUUUCUAUAAUUUUUUUCCUUUAUUUGUUUCAAAUAUAAAAAUAUAAAGAUCAAAUAAGAACAUGAAUUUAUCUUUUGAUGUAUAUAGGCCAUAAACCAAAGUGCACUCUUUACACAAACUGCUUUGAAGUUUAUCCAGAGUGGACUUCAGUUUUUGGUUUAUACAUUUAGUCCAGUCAAUUUCCUCAAAAUAUAGCCCAAAGUGGGACGUCAUAAUUUGCAACAGAAUUUAUAAUCAUAAAAUAAAUUUGAAGUUCAUAUUCACAAAACUCCAUAAUUUUAUUAAAGAUUUUAUUUGAAAUUAUGUAUUAUAUUUAAUGAGAUUUUCAGCUCAAACUUUUCAUAUUAUUCAUGCAAACACAUGUUGCGUAAUUUUAAUGGGAAAUUAUUCAAUAUUGACUUCAAUCAGCCCAACUGCAGGCCAAAUUGAAAGCCUAGUAAAUUUCAUUGCAUGAAAGCAAAACCUUUAAGAAAUUAAAUACAUGCCAUAUUUUUAAGCAAGUAUUGUUAUUAAUUAUCAUUAUGAUUUUUCUGUCUUAAAGAUGCAGUAAAAGCCAAUAGCACUUGAAGGCUUUUAGCAAUAUUCAUAGGACAUGCAGUAUUUCUGUGAUUUUUUUCUUUUUCUUUUUUCCUCUAAUCUGUAUUAUACAUGGACUGAUCUUGCAAUAUAACCAUUCACCCCAUGUCAAGUAUUAUCCAAGAAUUAAAAAUUACAUAUUAAAGUUGGUCCAGUAAGUAAUUAUGAUUAUUUUAUUUAUCCCAAUAUAGAUUCUAUGUAGGGCAGCAAAAAAGCAUUUUCCCAAUGAUCGAUUUUGGUUGACGAUUAUUCUGUUACAACAUACACACUGAUAAUUACAAAAACAAAAAACAAAACAAAAAGCACAAAAAAUAAAUUUUGUUUCAUUUAUGUUCCAGUUGAACCCAAAAUUGAUUAGAUCAUUAGAAAUAUCUGAAAGUAUGUACUGUACUGUAACUGUAAAGUACUGUUAUGUACUUAAGUAUAAAUUAUAAAUAAAAAGAAGUUGAAUCAUACAGUUCUUCUGAAAAGGAAAAAAGAGAAACAUUUUGCCACUAAAUUAUCCGAAAAUA